AUUAUAUCUCUAAAAUAUGGAUUCCAUUUUAUUUUCAGAAUUGAAAUGAUCAACUUGACAGGUGACAAACCUAUGUAUUGUCGAGACCAAAAACAUCAUCACGGUAUACUUUCCAUUUCAAGAGGUGCUGGGGCUUGAAUCCUGGAAAAGAUUAAACAUUUCUAAUACCAGAUUUCUACCUCCCUGGACUAUUGUGAAGAUACUUUGAAGAGUCAUAUGAUUUAGCUCUUCAAGAUCCUCAAGGGAAAAGCUAUUACAUAAUCUGUGAUGGCCAAUCUAUAUUUCUAGAUUCAUUGCCCCAGAUGAUGAUAUAUUGGAUCUGAUAUUAAACACUAUGGUCUCCUGGAAUCCUUGAGAUUUUUUUCCAAAACACAGCAUCUAUAAAAGAUUGCCAAGAAAAUCUGUUGCCUGAAUCUGCAACUUCAAGGACAGAGGGGAGGCACUUCAGUCUCCAGGCGAUCCUGGAGGGAAGACAAAGAAUGGCAAUAAUGCCGAGUGGAAUCAGCAUGAAUUAGGAAAGGACAAAGAGACAAGCACAGGGAGGAUGGUUCAGAAAGAGAACAAGAGAAAUAUUAACUAUGAUACAAAGAGUCCUGCAGCAUGGCCUAGAGUGACUGCUGCAAAGAAGGAAGGGAGUAUAGAAACCUAGCAAGUCAUUUGGAUGGACCUGGUGAGGUCUGGGUAUCAAGAGGAGGAUGAGAAGGGAGACUGUGAAACAUGGCUCCUGUCAUGGCUUAUAUGAACAGUCGCUUGGUGCUUUGUAAUUAGCUUACCACUUGAUUUUUGGACCCAAGCAGAUUUUUCUACUUAAAGUUCUUUUCAAAAACAUAUGGGCAGCUAUGAAUACUGCUCUGCUUCAGCAAUUUUACAAGUUCCAUUUUGUCAAGAUGCAUUUUUGAUUUAAAAGAUUAAGAAAAAUUGGAGGCAAAUACAUCAUUGUUACUGAUAUUCCCAUUUAGUUUAUGGUUCAGUUUGUCGAGGGUAAUCUUGUGGAAUCAUUUUGGUGUCUAUAUUUUCUGAAGUUCCAAGAGGAUUAAGGCCAGGGAUUCCAGGGAUGGAAACAAUGGUCCAAGAAACAGUGGAG
rnacentral:lncRNA from 1 species